CGCACAUUGCGCCCGCUAGUAUUCUGGCGGGCAUGCCUGUUCGAGCGUCAUUUCAACCCUCAAGCCCCCGGGCUUGGUGCUGGGGCCUUACGCCGUAAGCCCUGAAAUACAGUGGCGGUCUCGCUUGUCGAAUCCUCUGCGUAGUAACCAAACAUCGCACCGGAGAGCGGCGAGACCACGCCUCGAAACGCCAACUUCUGAAGGUUGACCUCGGAUCAGGUAGGAAUACCCGCUGAACUUAA
rnacentral:misc_RNA from 1 species